CAGUAGCCGCGGGAAUACGUAGGGUGCGAGCGUUGUCCGGAAUUAUUGGGCGUAAAGAGCUUGUAGGUGGUUUGUCGCGUCUGCUGUGAAAAUCCGAGGCUCAACCUCGGGCUUGCAGUGGGUACGGGCAGACUAGAGUGUGGUAGGGGAGACUGGAAUUCCUGGUGUAGCGGUGGAAUGCGCAGAUAUCAGGAGGAACACCGAUGGCGAAGGCAGGUCUCUGGGCCAUUACUGACACUGAGAAGCGAAAGCAUGGGGAGCGAACAGGAUUAGAUACCCCCGUAGUCCCUGUCUCUUAUAA
rnacentral:rRNA from 1 species